GUGGGUGCUCAUUUAAAAAUAAGUCCACUGAAUUGACUCGAUGAAAGUGAAUAUCUUAUGGAAGUUGUUGGGUAUAAAAUAACUCCAGCCGAAGUUCGUAAGAGGCCAACCCUCCCAGGACUCUUCCGGCUUCCAACCUUGUGCGGCGUCUUUCUGAACUCCCCCGGCCGUCCGAGCUUCCACAGUACCAUCCAGACUCCUCCAACAGUCGACCUUCUACAGUGUCCUCC
rnacentral:lncRNA from 1 species